AACAGAGGUCGCGGCUGUUCAACAGUAGCGCGGGGAGGGCUCCGGUGGCCCCUGGAACCGCUGCGAAAGGGGACGCCGCCGAAGGAGCCCGGUCCACGGAAGCCCCGCUCCUGGUCGCCCGGCGAAGAGCCGUCCGACUGUCGCCGCGCGCCGCGGUGGAGCGCUGUCUG
rnacentral:ncRNA from 1 species